rnacentral:rRNA from 1 species
GGAGCUUGCUCCUGCUGGAUUAGUGGCGAACGGGUGAGUAACACGUGAGUAACCUGCCCUUGACUCUGGGAUAAGCGUUGGAAACGACGUCUAAUACCGGAUACGAGCUAGGACCGCAUGGUCACUAGCUGGAAAGAACUUUGGUCAAGGAUGGACUCGCGGCCUAUCAGCUAGUUGGUGAGGUAACGGCCCACCAAGGCGACGACGGGUAGCCGGCCUGAGAGGGUGACCGGCCACACUGGGACUGAGACACGGCCCAGACUCCUACGGGAGGCAGCAGUGGGGAAUAUUGCACAAUGGGCGCAAGCCUGAUGCAGCAACGCCGCGUGAGGGACGACGGCCUUCGGGUUGUAAACCUCUUUUAGCAGGGAAGAAGCGAAAGUGACGGUACCUGCAGAAAAAGCACCGGCUAACUACGUGCCAGCAGCCGCGGUAAUACGUAGGGUGCAAGCGUUGUCCGGAAUUAUUGGGCGUAAAGAGCUCGUAGGCGGUUUGUCGCGUCUGCUGUGAGAAUCCGAGGCUCAACCUCGGACCUGCAGUGGGUACGGGCAAACUAGAGUGCGAUAGGGGAGAUUGGAAUUCCUGGUGUAGCGGUGGAAUGCGCAGAUAUCAGGAGGAACACCAAUGGCGAAGGCAGAUCUCUGGGCCGUAACUGACGCUGAGGAGCGAAAGCGUGGGGAGCGAACAGGAUUAGAUACCC